AUAUUCAUGUUUUCAAUAAUGAUGAAAAUAUAAUUAGAAUAAUAUCAUAUUUUUAUAUAUUGGAAGCAUCUGUAAAGAAUGUAGUAUGAGAGAAAAUACUUUUCAGUUUUAAGUGUAGAUUUUGCAAUUCAGGGCAGCCGGGGUGGCUCAGUGGUGUAGCACUGCCUUUAGCACAGGGCCUGAUCCUGGAGACCCAGGAUCGAGUCCUGCGUUGGGCUGCCUGCAUGGAGCCUGCUUCUCACUCUGCGUGUGUCUCUGCCCCUCUCUCUCUCUGUGUGUCUCUCAUGAAUAAAUAAAUAAAAUCUUUAAAAAAAAAUUUUUUGCAAUUCAUUUUUGUUUUAAACCUAACAAUGAAAAUGAUAAAAUGUACCUUAAAAAAGAAUUCAGAGGAGGAUGCAGUUUUUUCUCAAAUACUUUAGGGUCAAAGGGCAACAUAUUCUACAGUUGAGAGAUGAUUGGAUUAAAGUGAAAUGUGGAUUUGUUUCCCCCCACCGAGCCAGUCCCAGAAUUUAGGACAAAAUAUUUAAAGUCUCUGGGUAUCACUUAUUUCUUCUGUAAAAUGGGCAUAAUCAUUCCUGCCUGGAUAUGAAAAUAAUAUACAAUAAAACAUUGGAAAGCAACUAUAAAAACUAUCAAACAGUUAGUUUGCAAGCCAUUUUGAUUACACUCAUGGAAUUAUAUAUAGUUCUGAUUUUGUUGAUUUUUCUUCUACUCAAUGAAUUUGUGUCCAGGGCAAGAGCAUUCCUUCUACUUGACAUUUUCAUUUUGUGAGUCCAAUACCAUUUUUAUGCUACAGACAAUCAUAUAUUUAUCCGUUCAGAAAACACUUCCCUACUGUUUUACUGUGAAUUCUGCAUAUGUGUAUCUUACAUUAAAUUAGAUGCUUUUCCAAAAGCUCUAAUGUUCCAACAUGUGAUAGUGGUUUUAAUCCAAUUUCCUUAGCCACUGCAGAAUUUCUGCCUGUCUACAAGUUUACAAUGGUGUGAAACACUUGAUACUUUUAUACUAUAUAUAUAUAUAUAUAUAUAUAUAUAUAUAUAUAUAUAUAUAUACUUUUAUACUAUACACGUGAUACUUUUUAAAAAGUGCAACAGUCUUGACAGACUUUUCUCCACUUAGGUCCUGAGGUAGCAAGAAUGUUUAAUGAAAGGUUGCAAAUGCUUUUAAGUGACAGAAUAUAUAGAGACAAUAAGCAUUGGAAGGAAACUUGCAUAGAUUUUUGCUAAACCUUGGUAACCUUCUUGAGGACAAAAAAUGAAGUUUAUCAGAACUUUAACCCAUUCAUUUGAAAGCCCUUUCCAGGAUUAUGCCUAUGAAGGGAGGAAUAUUAGUUUCUCUCUUCUGUUUUUGGACGAACAAUGUGGCUAAUUGGAAGUAAUCAGCAAAGAGGGGUAAGGAAGAUCCCUAGAUGAAUUUGAGAGAAAAUGGUUCUUUGAGCAUUUAAAAUUCAAGCUAUUUUUUCUUAAAACAGGAAGGGUCAAAAUCACAAUCUAGACUUUAGUUAUGCAAGGUAAGAAUAGAGAGCUCCAUUGCUUUUACUUCAACUAGAAUUGUCAAGAUUGAUGGGUCCUUGCUUUGUCAAGCACAGUUGCCAAGAUGCCAAAGAACAGCUACAAGAUGCCUGGAGUUAUUAGUGUUGUGUGGCAGUGGCUGCACCGAAUGACACGCAGAGUGUUGAAAUGACCACUUUCCAAAUCUGGAGCUCAUUAUUUCAAACACUAUUUAAUAAGAAGUUAUGAAAAUAUACAACUAACAUAUUAAUUAUUACUUGUAUCAUAUGACUAAACCACCUGUGCUUGUAAGCAUGAGCCAGAUCAGGCUUUUCCUGAAAUUGUGUUAGCUAUUAAUGCAGUAGUCAGGAAUUGUGCUUGCUGUGGCAAUCAGAAGACAAAAUCAUAAGAAUAUAAAUCUGUAGAAACAGACUUUUAAAAAUAUGACAAAUGCCUCAAAAAGUGAAGCGUUGCAAGAUUAAAAAACAUGAUUCUAAAAUUAGGACUUUUGAUAGCUGAGUAUUUGCACAUGACCUUGACUAUUUUAGUGUAGAUACUGGUUUCUAUUUAUAUAAAUCUCUAUCUCAUGGAUGAUUUUAUUCCAUCAGUUCUCACUAUGAGCAUGUGAAUACACUGAUAUAUAUUAGUUACAAGAUGGAGAAAUAAAAAGAGAGGAAAGAUACAAGUUGAACUGGAGCCAAAGACCUCUUAAAUAGCUAAGAGGCAGACUUUUGCAAAAAAAGAAUAAGUAUCAAUGAAUCCUGAUUUAAUUGAGAUACUUUCCUUCAAUAUUAGUUGACAUUGUUUUGAAAUAGAUGAAAAUUUGAUAUGAGGAAAAUGCAACCACAUACUGUCCACUUUAUAAAAAGUAGAGCAACUAUAGCAACAUAAAUUUAUAUUGUCUAAAAAACUAAAAAUAGUUGAACACUAAAGCAGGCUAUUGAGUGAGAUUAUAUAAUAUUCUUCCCUUGAGGUUUCAUUAUAUGAGAAAAACAGCCAUCUGUUUUGGAGAUUGUGGGUAUAGCAGAUUAUGUUGGAAGCUUCUCUGACUUUUUUGGCAAUUUAAUCUAAUUAAUUUAAUUAAAUAGUUCAAAAGAGUGAAAUAUCUUAGAGACACCACUGUAUAGAGAAAGAGACGUUUUUGAAAUGAUUUUUCGAAAAUCUCUCCCACCCAAGGGGAUCUGUGAAGUGUUCAGUGCCAUGGCUUGUUUACAACCACUUCCACCACAAGCAACAAGGGAGUCAGAGAAGUUUGUCUUUGAUGCCCCUUGUGCCAAACAUGAGGGUUCAUUAAGUCAGCAGAAACAGAUGAAAAAAGACUGAUUUCUGGCAUUCGAGGACUCACUGGUCUAAUUGGAGAGAAGACAUAUGUAAAUAAAUAAAAUACAAAUACCCUGGUGAGUGCAGCACAGAAGCUGUAGGUUCGUUGCUAAAGGUUCAUAACCAGGGUUCAGGGGUACGUUGUUUUCUGGCUAAAGUAAGCGUCUGGAAAGGAAAAGAAAUAAAUGUGGAUUUUGGCAAAUGACUAAAAAUUUUCCAGGUAGAAGGAAGGACAUCCAGAGCUAAGUAAGGAACAGAGUGGAAAAACCUCAUAUGUCAGAUGAGUCUGAGAGGUUCCCUACUGCUGAACCAGAGGUUGGCAAGGAAGAGUGGUAGGAAGGGAGCUGGAGCAGCAAUCCAGGUAAAGGAGGGUUAGGAGAGUGAGCUCUAGAAGAAGAAAAUGGGAAGCCACCAAAGGAUUUUAAGCAUCGGACAGCCAAUCUCUAAAAUUAAUUUGGUGACCGUAUGGGACAAAUGACUCAUGGGGACAAAGCUUAGUCCAGGGAUAUGGGGUUAAAGGUACUUAAAAAGGUCCAGGCCAGGCAUAUCAAGUUAAAGUAAGUUAAUGGAUGAUCAGGAAAUUAGAUUCAAGAGACCCAUCAGAUUGAUUGGAUUUGGCUGGGUAUGCAGAAAAACUUUAUUUUUUUAAAUUUUUUUUUCAGAAAAACUUUAAAAAAGGAAUCCAAAAGUUUCUCUGAUGGGAUAUAGAAUAUAAGAGAUUUAUACAUUUAGGGGAGAAAGAAGAUGAGUUUAAUUGUGCACCUGUUAGCUGGACCCUGAGGUCAUUUAUCUGUCCAUAUGGUGAUCUCCAGGUCUGUAGCUUAAUGAGGAGGUUUGGGUUGCAUAUGUAGAAGAAAGGGAAAUUGUCCCAAGUACAAGUCCCAUGGGUGCUGUAUAACAUGACUUUACUUGCACUAGAUCAUGGCAUUAAAUAACACUGUAUCACAAAGUAAGGAAUUUAUUUCCUUUUCAGUGUUCUUUCACUUUGGAUUAAGCCCUUGAGAGAGUGGCAGUUUGUUGAAGAUUUGUUAUUAACUUUUGCUAUCUCCCUUAUAUGCUGGCCUCAGGCUCAAAGCUUUUAGCUGGCAAUAAGUACCUGAUUAAAAUUUAAUAAGAUCACUACUUUUUUUCCAUAUCAUUUUUAAAUUAUUGCCUGUUAUUUGUGGCAGUAAUAUUGAUUUUACACUAACAACAGUGAUA
rnacentral:lncRNA from 1 species